rnacentral:rRNA from 1 species
UAUGAAGUUUAUAAUAAACAAAUAUGAACAGUAUUUUAUUGAUAGAUGCUAAAUGAGGAGACUAACACUAUGCUGUCGACAUAAAAAAAUUAUAAAUUGAAAGUCACAAUGAAUAAUAAUAAUAACAAUUUUAUAUCUCCUGUAAAAAGUUAUACAGAUGCACAACUAAAUAAAGAAACAGUUUUAAAAGAAAAUCGUAAUAAGUCAGGUAUCUACCGUUGAAUAAAUAACAUAAAUGGUAAAUCUUAUGUAGGUAGCGGAGUAAAUCUUUCAAAAAGAUUAAGAAGCUAUUACAACGAAAAAGAAUUAAAUAGGAAUUCUAGACCUAUAAAAGAUGCUUUACUUAAAUACGGACACAAUAAUUUUACUGUUGAAAUUUUAGAAUAUUGUACUGAAACUCAAUUACUUGAGAGGGAGCAAUUUUAUUUAGAUACUGUGGAUCCAGAGUAUAAUGUCCUAAAGUUUGCAUAUUCUUUGUCAGGUUUUAAACAUAGUUCUGAGACUAUAGAAAAACUUAAAGAUAAAGUUAUAUCUCCUGAGCAUAAAGAUUUACUAUCUUCAAUACAUAAAGGUAAGGUUGUAGAGAUAGAAACCAGAGAAAAACUGGCUGUUGCAACUGCAAAUUAUAAAAAGAAUAAUCCUUUAACUCCUGAAGCCUUAGCAAAUAUAAAAGCUAAAACUUUAGCACGUGAAGGGGUAUCUGUUUCAGUGUUAAAUACUAAUACUAAUGAAGUAAAAGAGUUUACAAAUCAAACUGAAGCAGGAGAAUACCUAGGUGUUACAAGACAAGCUAUCUAUAAUUCAAUAAAAAGAGGUUCAUUGAUUAAAGGAAUAUAUCUUGUAUCAAAAAUAGAUAAAUGUUAGGUUGUGUAUAAAAAAUUAAUCAUAAAAAUUACUAUUGUUUCAGUUAUUUACUGAAACCAGAUUUUAUUAAUCUGUUGUCUAAAUGGAUGACCUUCUGGUCAUUUAGGGAGAAGGACCUCACUCUGUUCGAAAGCUUCGAACUAAAGAGGUAGAUCUGUGUAUGUCAAAAGGGAAACAGCCCAAAACAAGUAUUAAGGUUCCUAAAUUAUUAUUAAGUGAAAUAAAAGAAGUCUUUUUCAAAUAUGAUCAGGAAAUAGGCUUAGAGGCGGCCAUUUUUUAAAGACCUCGUAACAGAGCACUGAAUGAUUUAAGAUUAAGGCACUGAAAAUUUAACGGAUCUAAAUAAUAUACCGAAAUCUUGUCCAUAUUAUGGGGUAGCAGAACAUUGUUAAAAUUACAUAAAAUUUAAUAUUUUAUUAAAUUUUUUUGCUUGUUUAGAUAAGCAAUAAUAAAACAAGAGAUAAUGCUGACAUGAGUAACGAAAAAGGAUAGUUCCUCGCCUAAAGCUUAUGAGAAAUAGGUCAAAUUUUUAAGUAACGGUUUCUAAAUUUUUAAUUAUAAAUAAUUAAAUGAUGAUUAUAUCUAAAAAUAUAUAGUAUAUUAUAAAUUAUUACUAUAGAUAACCUUAAAAGGAUAAUACCUUAACUUUAGUAUUAACUUAUAAUUUAUACUUUAAAACCUUAUUAAAAAAAACCUUAUAAAGUAUAGAUUCUAAAGGUUAUAGGAUUUAUAUAUUAUUAAGGUUUUAUUGUAAUUAUUAAGGUUCAGGAAAAAAAUAUUUUAUUUAUUUACCGUCUCUAGAUCUAAAAAAAUUCUAACAACUAGUAAGCUAGUAGAGUAUACGAAGGCGUUUAAGCUAACAAUCAUUAAGGAACUCGGCAAAAUGACUCCGUAACUUCGGGAGAAGGUUGGCCAUUUCUUCUAAUUAAUAUUAGCAAAGAAAAAGGAGGCAUAGAAUGGUGUUGUACGACUGUUUAAUUAAAACAAAGCACUUUGCAUAAGAUGAUAAAUCUAAGUAUUGAGUGUGAUGUCUGCCCUAUAUCGGCCGGUUAACGACUAUGUGUUUAAAUGUAAAUUUAGAUAUUAAAGGAACCCCCGAUCAAUGGCGGCCUUAUACCUGAGGGUCUUAAGGUAGCGGAAUACCUUGGCCGUUAAAUGCGGUCUUUGCAUGAAUGAUGUAACGAUACAACAGCUGUCUCAAUGAUUGGCUUAGUGAAAUUAUAAUAGCUGUGCAGAUACAGUUUACUUCUAGAUAGACGAGAGUGCGACUAGAUAAGUGCAAUAUAGUAAUGAGGUUGAAUUCCUCCUGGUAACCCAUUAUCUGAGCUCAAGCAGUAUGCAAAAGAAGUAAUUUUUUUGUGUAAAGCCUGCUUAAAUUUUAGUUUUUAUAACUAACCUCCCUUAUAGGGAGGUGAGCUAAUAUUAUUAUGGAUAACUUUUGUGAAUUCACGGUUGAAGCGCUUAGAAGUGUCUUUAUUUCUACAAUAGAAAAGUCAGAUAAAUGUAAAAUAAAGAUUGUUGAUUGUAUAAACAAGUUUUCGUUUGUUUAUUAAUGGGUCUUUUAUCAACAAGCGUAUAGUGGAAUCCUAAGAUAAUAGUGAAUGUACUAUAUUGUAAACUAGGUAAGCCCAAUAAUGCCCUAAACUACUCUAUCAGGUCGGUUAACCGACUUAAGGUACAGUAGUAUUAGGAAGUAGAAUCGUGAGGUUCUAUAUACAUUAGUGGGUAAAGGAUGCUCUAAAAAGCGAAUGCCGUGUUGUAAUGAUGCGGAUAGGUUUUUAACUAAUUCGAAAGAAUGCAGACUUAGAGCUGGUGUUUAAUAAAAAUAAAUUAUUUAUGCAAUUCUAUAUGUUAGUCGUAUUAAUAUAAUAAUGCUGGUACAAAACAAUGAAAAAUUAAAUCCUUGAUAUAUAACAGGAUUAGCGGAUUCGGAGGGAAACUUUAGUAUUAAUUAUAAUGCUAAAAGUGAAAAAGUUACAGCUUCAUUUAAAAUAACUCAAAAUGAAGAUUCUUUAAAUGUUUUAUAUUCUUUAAAAGAAUUUUUUGGAUGUGGACAUAUUAACAUAGACAAUAGACUAACUAAGGGAU